GGUUAAGCUACUAAGGGCGCACGGUGGAUGCCUAGGCGCUGGGAGCCGAUGAAGGGCGCGGCAAACGGCGAAACGCCUCGGGGAGCCGUAAGCAGGCGUUGAUCCGGGGAUUCCCGAAUGGGGCAACCCCCUGUCCCUCAUCGGACAGGAUCCAUCUUCCGAAUCCAUAGGAGAUGGAGGGCACACCAGGGGAACUGAAACAUCUUAGUACCCUGAGGAGAAGAAAGCAACCGCGAUUCCCUGAGUAGCGGCGAGCGAAAGGGGAACAGCCCAAACCGGUGGGCUUGCCCACCGGGGUUGUAGGACGUCCCAUACGGAGUGACAAAGGACGAGGAUAGGCGAACACGUCUGGAAAGGCGGGCCAUAGAGUGUGACAGCCACGUAGCCGAAAUCUUCGUCCCUCCGGGACGGAUCCUGAGUACGGCGGGACACGUGAAAUCCCGUCGGAAUCCGGGAGGACCAUCUCCCAAGGCUAAAUACUCCCCAGCGACCGAUAGUGAACCAGUACCGUGAGGGAAAGGUGAAAAGCACCCCGGGAGGGGAGUGAAAGAGAACCUGAAACCGUGUGCCUACAACCAGUCGGAGCACGAUGCCCGUCAGGGCCGUGUGACGGCGUGCCUUUUGUAGAAUGAACCGGCGAGUUACGGUCUCGUGCGAGGUUAAGCCGAAGAGGCGGAGCCGCAGCGAAAGCGAGUCUGAACAGGGCGCAAAGGGUUCCCAAAAAAGUACUGCUUUUUUGGGGUCCCUAGUACGAGGCCGUAGACCCGAAACCGUGUGAUCUACCCAUGUCCAGGGUGAAGGCAGGGUAAUGCCUGCUGGAGGCCCGAACCCACGCAUGUUGAAAAAUGCGGGGAUGAGGUGUGGGUAGCGGUGAAAUGCCAAUCGAACACGGAGAUAGCUGGUUCUCCCCGAAAUAGCUUUAGGGCUAGCCUCGGACGCUGAGUGCUGGAGGUAGAGCACUGAUUGGACUAGGGGCCCACACAGGGUUACCGAAUUCAGUCAAACUCCGAAUGCCAGUCACUUUAGUCCGGGAGUCAGACCACGAGUGAUAAGAUCCGUGGUCGAGAGGGAAACAGCCCAGACCAUCAGCUAAGGUCCCAAAGUGUACGUUAAGUGGAAAAGGAUGUGGCGUUGCUUAGACAACCAGGAUGUUGGCUUAGAAGCAGCCAUCAUUUAAAGAGUGCGUAAUAGCUCACUGGUCGAGUGACGCUGCGCCGAAAAUGUAACGGGGCUAAACGUACCACCGAAGCUAUGGAUCCGCAAGGAUGGUAGGGGAGCGUACCAAGGGCAUGGAAGCCAGAUGGAAGGACCGGUGGAGCGCUUGGUAGUGAGAAUGCCGGUGUGAGUAGCGAUAAGACAAGUGAGAAUCUUGUCCGCCGAAAGCCUAAGGUUUCCUGAGGAAGGUUCGUCCGCUCAGGGUUAGUCGGGACCUAAGCCGAGGCCGAAAGGCGUAGGCGAUGGGAAACAGGUUGAAAUUCCUGUACCACCUUUAGCCGCCAUUGCCCUUAAAAUAGAGGGGCCCCACGAAAGUAUUCGGAAUUCGCUGCGAAGCAAUUCGUCACUUUCGUGGGUAUAGCGACGGGGUGACGCAGGAGGGUAGGGUGAGCGUGCUGCUGGAAUAGCACGUCCAAGCCGUUAGGCUGAAGCGUAGGCAAAUCCGCGCUUCGUCAAGGCUGAGCGGUGAUGGCGAGGGAAACAUCAGUACCGAAGUCCCUGAUCCCACACUGCCGAGAAAAGCCUCUAGCGAGGCUAAAGGUGCCCGUACCGCAAACCGACACAGGUAGGCGAGGAGAGAAUCCUAAGGCGCGCGGGAGAACCCUCGUUAAGGAACUCGGCAAAAUGACCCCGUAACUUCGGGAGAAGGGGUGCCUCGCGUAGGGUGAGGGGUGACCCGAGCCCGAGGAGGCCGCAGUGAAAAGGCCCAAGCGACUGUUUAGCAAAAACACAGGUCUCUGCAAAGCCGUAAGGCGACGUAUAGGGGCUGACGCCUGCCCGGUGCUGGAAGGUUAAGGGGAAGGGUUAGCCGCAAGGCGAAGCUCUGAACCGAAGCCCCAGUAAACGGCGGCCGUAACUAUAACGGUCCUAAGGUAGCGAAAUUCCUUGUCGGGUAAGUUCCGACCCGCACGAAAGGCGUAACGACUUGGGCACUGUCUCAACGAGGGACCCGGUGAAAUCGUACUACCCGUGAAGAUGCGGGUUACCCGCGGCAAGACGGAAAGACCCCGUGGAGCUUUACUGCAGCCUGAUAUUGGGUUUGGGUACCGCUUGUACAGGAUAGGUGGGAGCCGUGGAAGCCGGACCGCCAGGUUCGGUGGAGGCGCCGGUGGGAUACCACCCUGGCGGUAUCGAAAUCCUAACCCGCGGCCGUGAUCCGGUCGGGGGACAGUGUCAGGUGGGCAGUUUGACUGGGGCGGUCGCCUCCCAAAAGGUAACGGAGGCGUCCAAAGGUUCCCUCAGCAUGGUUGGAAAUCAUGCGCAGAGUGCAAAGGCAGAAGGGAGCUUGACUGCGAGACUGACAAGUCGAGCAGGGACGAAAGUCGGGCUUAGUGAUCCGGUGGUUCCGCAUGGAAGGGCCAUCGCUCAACGGAUAAAAGCUACCCCGGGGAUAACAGGCUGAUCUCCCCCAAGAGUCCACAUCGACGGGGAGGUUUGGCACCUCGAUGUCGGCUCAUCGCAUCCUGGGGCUGAAGUAGGUCCCAAGGGUUGGGCUGUUCGCCCAUUAAAGCGGUACGCGAGCUGGGUUCAGAACGUCGUGAGACAGUUCGGUCCCUAUCUGCCGCGGGCGCAGGAAAUCUGAGAGGAGCUGUCCCUAGUACGAGAGGAUCGGGAUGGACACACCGCUGGUGUACCAGUUGUUCCGCCAGGAGCACAGCUGGGUAGCUAUGUGUGGACGGGAUAAGCGCUGAAAGCAUCUAAGCGCGAAGCCCACCUCAAGAUGAGAUUUCCCAUCGCGCAAAGCGAGUAAGACCCCUCGAAGAUGACGAGGUAGAUAGGUCUGGAGUGGAAGCGCAGCAAUGCGUGGAGCGACCAGAUCCUAAUCGGUCGAGGGCUUAACCAA
rnacentral:rRNA from 1 species